rnacentral:lncRNA from 10 species
CAGGACAGAACCACUUAGUAGGGAAAUUGGAAAUUUAAUUUUGAUCAGAUGAACAAAAAAUGAAGAAAAAUGCUUGAAGUGGUAGCAGAAAAAACACCAGCGAUUAAAAACAUUUGGAACCUUUGCUUACCCUUCAAAGGCAUUUGUUGCCAUGGUUUUUCAAGACCUCUGAAAGCUUCAGCUGUGUCCACAAAAGCUGCCAAGAAAUAGGGGUUCUAUACUGAUUUUAUUUGUCAGAGGCAUUUUUGUCUUAAUUAUCUCCAAGAUAAAGAUGACUUAGCCAAAGGGAGAGGAAAAAAGAAGAACUACUGUCAUUUCACAGGUUGAAAGGCUGUGAUUUAACUCUUCUGAGUUCUUCAAAUAUAUGCGUGCAUGUGUGCACAAACACAUCUAAGUUUCACAGGAUCGCAUUAACCACUAACAAGCACUUAACACUGGGGAUGUCAUUCUUACAUGGAAUGAGGUUUUCAGGCCUUGACUUUCAUGGUGUGUCUUUCUAUUUCUCUGAUGAGAAACAGUAGCCAAACACCUAGCAAAUUUACCAAUACCUGAAGUUAAUGCCCGCCUUUCUUUCUCUUUCUUUCUUUUUCCUUCUUUCUUUCUUUCUCUUUUUUUUUUUUUUUUUUUUUUUUUUUUUGAGACGAGUCUCACUCUGUCGCCAGGCUGGAGUGCAGUGGUGCAAUCUCGGCUCACUACAACCUCCACCUCUCGAGUUCAAGCCAUUCUCCUGCCUCCACCUCCUGAGUAGCUGGGACUACAGGUGCACACCACCAUGCCUAGCUAAUUUUUGUAUUUUUAGUAGAGACGGGGUUUCAUCAUGUUGGCCAGGAUGGUCUCAAUCUCUUGACCUCAUGAUCUGCCUGCCUCAGCCUCCCAAAGUGCUGGAUUAUAGGCAUGAGCCACCGCACCCGGCCAUGACUUUCUUUUAAAAAGUUUCAUUGCAAAGGCUUUCACUUGAAAAUUACAUGACAGCUCAUAUGUGUACACACUAAAACUCUGCUGCCCUCAGCCUCCAUAGUCAUUUCUGUUGCACAGUAUGUAUGUUAACACAUGAUGGAGAGUAAAACACGUAAGUAGAAAUAAGGGAAGGAUUAUGCAAGCUCUGGGUCCGAAAAGGAGGCUAUGAACUGCCACAGUAUAAAUAAUCUGCAAAAAAAAAAAAAAAAACACCUGCUUGGUUCUUGUUUGGACAUCAUAAAAAUGCUUAUAUUUGUUUCUGCAGUUUACUAUUUGUACAGCUUAAUGUGCUGGUAGCAGGAUGUUCUUUCUGAAUUGUAAGCUCCCAGAGAGCUGCAUUUGGCCCUGUAGGACUAAUUUAUCAUUUUCCUGUUUAGAAGGGCUUUGCACAUACACUUUUUAUAAUAAGAGUGUUUCUUACAAGGUUUGGUAAGAUUCAGGGAAUGCUUAUAUUAUUAUGAAAAUCAAGAGGAAGGUUUUAGAGUUAUUUCUCCAUUAUUAAUAAUGUGCAACCUUCAAGAAGUAUUCAGACCAUUCUUUUCAUCAAGUUUCUUUAAAAUUAAUUGAGGAAAUUAAUUCAAAUCCCCACCCCUGGAAUAUCCGCAGAGAGCUGAUUCUGUUUCUGUGGCUGCUGGAUAAUUCCAUCUGGACAUCCAGCUAUCAUCUCAAAUGCAGCAUGUCUAGAAUUGAACUUAUCCUACCCCCUGAUGACUGGCCUUCCUCUUGGUGACCAAGUCAUUCAUUUCUCAGUUCAUUCAGUCUAUGUCUGAACCUCUUUAACUCUUUUAUCUCCUGGAUAACCCAUAUUUAAUUACCUUCAAGCAAUGUAUAUCCUUUCAUUAUAAUAUCCUUUAUUCUAUUCCCCUUCUUUCCAUUUCACAAAUACCAAAAAGUACAGAUUUUUAGUACAUCUAAGCUAGUUGAAUAUCAGCCAAAUUGGUCUUCACGCUUUGAUUCUUUCCCUUCUCUGGUCCCUCCUAUAUACCUCUGCCAGAUUAAUCUGCAUUAAAGACUCUUUCAUCAGCCGGGUGCGGCGGCUCACGCCUGUAA